rnacentral:rRNA from 1 species
GACGAACGCUGGCGGCGUGCCUAAUACAUGCAAGUCGAGCGAUGAAGAUUGGUGCUUGCACCAAUUUGAAGAGCAGCGAACGGGUGAGUAACGCGUGGGGAAUCUGCCUUUGAGCGGGGGACAACAUUUGGAAACGAAUGCUAAUACCGCAUAACAACUUUAAACAUGAGGUUUAAGGUUGAAAGAUGCAAUUGCAUCACUCAAAGAUGAUCCCGCGUUGUAUUAGCUAGUUGGUGAGGUAAAGGCUCACCAAGGCGAGGAUACAUAGCCGACGUGAGCGGGUGAUCGGCCACAUUGGGACUGAGACACGGCCCAAACUCCUACGGGAGGCAGCAGUAGGGAAUCUUCGGCAAUGGGCGAAAGUCUGACCGAGCAACGCCGCGUGAGUGAAGAAGGUUUUCGGAUCGUAAAACUCUGUUGUUAGGGAAGAACGUGGGUGAGAGUGGAAAGCUCAUCAAGUGACGGUAACUACCCAGAAAGCGACGGCUAACUACGUG